AUUACCGCGGCUGCUGGCACGGAGUUAGCCGGUGCUUCUUCUGCGGGUAACGUCAAUCGAUGCGGUUAUUAACCGCAUCGCCUUCCUCCCCGCUGAAAGUACUUUACAACCCGAAGGCCUUCUUCAUACACGCGGCAUGGCUGCAUCAGGCUUGCGCCCAUUGUGCAAUAUUCCCCACUGCUGCCUCCCGUAGGAGUCUGGACCGUGUCUCAGUUCCAGUGUGGCUGGUCAUCCUCUCAGACCAGCUAGGGAUCGUCGCCUAGGUGGGCCAUUACCCCACCUACUAGCUAAUCCCAUCUGGGCACAUCUGAUGGCAAGAGGCCCGAAGGUCCCCCUCUUUGGUCUUGCGACGUUAUGCGGUAUUAGCUACCGUUUCCAGUAGUUAUCCCCCUCCAUCAGGCAGUUUCCCAGACAUUACUCACCCGUCCGCCACUCGUCAGCGAAGCAGCAAGCUGCUUUCUGUUACCGUUCGACUUGCAUGUGUUAGGCCUGCCGCCAGCGUUCAAUCUGAGCCAGGAUCAAACUCU
rnacentral:rRNA from 1 species